rnacentral:rRNA from 1 species
UUCGCCCUUAGAGUUUGAUCCUGGCUCAGGACGAACGCUGGCGGCGUGCCUAACACAUGCAAGUCGAGCGGGGAUGAGGGAGCUUGCUUCCGAAUCCUAGCGGCGGACGGGUGAGUAACGCGUGAGCAACCUGCCUCAAACAGGGGGAUAACGCAUCGAAAGAUGUGCUAAUACCGCGUAAGACCACGGUACCGCAUGGUACAGGGGUCAAAGGAGCAAUCCGGUUUGAGAUGGGCUCGCGUCCGAUUAGCUAGUUGGAGAGAUAACAGCCCACCAAGGCGACGAUCGGUAGCCGACCUGAGAGGGUGAUCGGCCACAUUGGAGCUGAGAAACGGUCCAAACUCCUACGGGAGGCAGCAGUGGGGAAUAUUGGGCAAUGGGCGAAAGCCUGACCCAGCAACGCCGCGUGAGUGAAGAAGGCCUUCGGGUUGUAAAGCUCUGUCCUUGGUGACGAAGGAAGUGACGGUAGCCAAGGAGGAAGCCCCGGCUAACUACGUGCCAGCAGCCGCGGUAAUACGUAGGGGGCGAGCGUUGUCCGGAAUGACUGGGCGUAAAGGGCGUGUAGGCGGCCUGAUAAGUAUGAAGUGAAAGUCCUGCUUUCAAGGUGGGAAUUGCUUUGUAGACUGUCGGGCUUGAGUGCGGAAGAGGUAAGUGGAAUUCCCAGUGUAGCGGUGAAAUGCGUAGAGAUUGGGAGGAACACCAGUGGCGAAGGCGACUUACUGGGCCGUAACUGACGCUGAGGCGCGAAAGCGUGGGGAGCGAACAGGAUUAGAUACCCUGGUAGUCCACGCUGUAAACGAUGAAUGCUAGGUGUAGGGGGUAUCGACCCCUCCUGUGCCGGAGUAAACGCAAUAAGCAUUCCGCCUGGGGAGUACGGCCGCAAGGUUGAAACUCAAAGGAAUUGACGGGGGCCCGCACAAGCAGCGGAGCAUGUUGUUUAAUUCGAUGCAACGCGAAGAACCUUACCAGGUCUUGACAUCGAUCUAAGCCUCUAGAGAUAGAGGGUCCCUUCGGGGGAGAGAAGACAGGUGGUGCAUGGUUGUCGUCAGCUCGUGUCGUGAGAUGUUGGGUUAAGUCCCGCGACGAGCGCAACCCUUAUGAUCAGUUACUAACGGAUAAAGCCGAGGACUCUGAUAAGACUGCCGGGGACAACUCGGAGGAAGGUGGGGACGACGUCAAAUCAUCAUGCCCCUUAUGACCUGGGCUACAAACGUGCUACAAUGGUGACUACAAAGAGGAGCGAGCCUGUAAGGGUAAGCGGAUCUCAAAAAAGUCAUCUCAGUUCGGAUUGUGGGCUGCAACCCGCCCACAUGAAGUUGGAGUUGCUAGUAAUCGCGGAUCAGAAUGCCGCGGUGAAUACGUUCCCGGGCCUUGCACACACCGCCCGUCA